rnacentral:rRNA from 1 species
AACGACUCUUGGCAACGGAUAUCUAGGCUCUCGCAUCGAUGAAGAACGUAGCGAAAUGCGAUACUUGGUGUGAAUUGCAGAAUCCCGUGAACCAUCGAGUCUUUGAACGCAAGUUGCGCCCGAGGCCUUUAGGCCGAGGGCACGUCUGCCUGGGCGUCACGC